rnacentral:rRNA from 1 species
GAUGAACGCUGGCGGCGUGCCUAAUGCAUGCAAGUCGAGCGAACAGACGAGGAGCUUGCUCCUCUGACGUUAGCGGCGGACGGGUGAGUAACACGUGGAUAACCUACCUAUAAGACUGGGAUAACUUCGGGAAACCGGAGCUAAUACCGGAUAAUAUAUUGAACCGCAUAGUUCAAUAGUGAAAGACGGUUUUGCUGUCACUUAUAGAUGGAUCCGCGCCGCAUUAGCUAGUUGGUAAGGUAACGGCUUACCAAGGCAACGAUGCGUAGCCGACCUGAGAGGGUGAUCGGCCACACUGGAACUGAGACACGGUCCAGACUCCUACGGGAGGCAGCAGUAGGGAAUCUUCCGCAAUGGGCGAAAGCCUGACGGAGCAACGCCGCGUGAGUGAUGAAGGUCUUCGGAUCGUAAAACUCUGUUAUUAGGGAAGAACAAAUGUGUAAGUAACUAUGCACGUCUUGACGGUACCUAAUCAGAAAGCCACGGCUAACUACGUG